UACGGAGGGAGCUAGCGUUGUUCGGAAUUACUGGGCAUAAAGCGCACGUAGGCGGCUUUGUAAGUUAGAGGUGAAAGCCCGGAGCUCAACUCCGGAAUUGCCUUUAAGACUGCAUCGCUUGAAUCCGGGAGAGGUGAGUGGAAUUCCGAGUGUAGAGGUGAAAUUCGUAGAUAUUCGGAAGAACACCAGUGGCGAAGGCGGCUCACUGGACCGGUAUUGACGCUGAGGUGCGAAAGCGUGGGGAGCAAACAAG
rnacentral:rRNA from 1 species